GAGCGGUUAGCUCAGUUGGUAGAGCACUACCUCGACACGGUAAGGGUCAUUGGUUCGAGCCCAAUACCGCGCACCA
rnacentral:tRNA from 1 species